rnacentral:lncRNA from 1 species
GUUCCGUCGACUCGCCAGAUGGUGGUGGUGGAGCUGAUGGUGUGUGCUUGGGGAAGGGAUCGAAGAGAGAGAGAAGAGAAGAGAGAGAGAAAGAGCCGUUCUUGUUGUUGUCUGCACAUAGUUAUGUUAUAUUAUCUGUCCCGCUUCAUGGUUAGAGAUUAGUCUCGAGUCGUUUAAAAUGUGUGAAUAGGUUCCUGCCUUAUGCGUACAUAAAAGUUGUUUUAAUAAACAGGCAGGGUAUGUUGAUCUACAUGCUCCAUCCUCUUUAGGGACAUCCACCUUUAACCAGCAUUAGUCUUAUCCUGCAUACCAUCUAUUUUUGACAUCUUAUGCUGUUUCCUUUUCUUCCUACCUCGAUCUUAUGCUCUUUCAAUGAUAGUGACAAUAUUACAUGCGUGCUAUACACACAAGCUGGAGCUUUUAUCUCUUCCUUGGAUCCCGUGGGGCUCUGUUGAAGUGCAGGGGUUUCUUGUAAAAUAAUUAUUUAAACGACCUCAUUUCUUUGUAAAAUUAUGGGGAAAUUCAACAUACCAAUAAUGCUAAUGUGAGGAAGUUCUCUCCUAAUUCAUCUUGUCCUUAAUUGAUUUUAGAAUAGAUUCUACAAGAAGAAGAAGAACAACAACAACAACUACCCAGUAUAGUCCCACAAAGUGGGGUCUGGGGAGGGUNNN